GACGUUGAAAACAGCAGAGGGCAGCUGACACGUGACAGGAGGAGGGCUGGUGGAUACCCGUGCCUGACGUGCGGGGAGGGGGUGGGUGGCUGUUGACAGUUGUCCC
rnacentral:rRNA from 17 species